AUCCAGACCUGAGGCUUACAAUGCCUAAUGUCUCAUCUUGCCUUGGCUAAGGGCUCCUGGCAGCGUGAGGCCUUUAUGUCUGUUGUGUUUUUCUCUGGAAUGAUCCCCAGGUCACCCUCCCCUUGUAGCCUGUACACCCCAACUGUUGUUGCCUGGAUGCUUAACCGACUGAGCCACCCAGGUGCCCCUAAACAAUAUCCAAUUUAACGCCAGGCAUUAUAGUUCUAGAAAUGUCUUGGCUCCUUCCAAAAACAUUCUUAUUGGCUGUGUCCCUUGGUAGAGCCUUCCGCUCUAGUCCAGUCAGUGGUUCUCCUAUUUGGCUCUGUGUAAGAAUCACCUAAAAAUCGUUUUAAAAUGCCAGCUCCCAGGCCUUCCCCCAGAGCAAAUGAAAUCUGAAUCCCCAGGGGUGAGAAGCAAAAGAACUAUUUACCCCAAAGAGAAAUGAUGUCACUGGCUGAGAAAGACACAGCUGCACUCAGGUUUUGUUUAAAUAGUGGGUUGUUUUGUUUUGUUUUUCGAAAGAGUAUGCAUGGGGACGGUUCUUUGAGCCCCCUUGAAAAUGAAGGGCUUUUGCACAUCUGAAAACUCUCCCUGUUUGUACAGUGCCCGCUUCUGCCUCCCUGGGGGUUGAGACUUCCUUCUGCCCCAGCAGUAUGAUCUCAGAGAAGGCUGUUCUCACCCCAGACUCACCAAGCCAGACCCUCCAAAGUUAAGACCAAGGGCGCUCCUGCCUUGCUGCCUGGGGCUGGAUAAAAUGAACUGGGAAGCGUUUUUGAUCUUUAACUCCUGAGAGAGCGAUUUCCCCUGCACGUAGGGGGUGGGGUGGGGUGGGGGAGGAGGGGGAACCUGCAGGGAGCUGACCCGCAGGUGUGAACUGAACUUGAGUAACCUCUGCUCUCCACAUCUGUUCUCUUUGCAUUGGUGCUAUUUGGCGUUUUAAUGGACGCUUUUAUUGAGGGCCGGCCAAGAGCACUAUGCAGGCUGGUUCCAUCGCCCAAGAUUUGGCCUUUCCAGAACAAACAGCAUCUUCAGCCUCUCUGUCCAGGUACUUCUAUGACAUCAUGGCAGUAGGAGGGGAGGCCUCAGAGCCAUGUGUUAACCUUGAACUCGGCUGGUCUAGUUUGCAGGUGAGUUUUGAGCAUUUGGGCUACUUCGUGGGUACCCAUAGCUAUAGCUCAUGAUCUUGGUUCUUCAUCUCUGUAGCGAAUUCCCAACAUUCUGUGUCUCCGUUUCAGAUUUGAGUGGACAUCAGUUCUCUGACCCUUCCAACAUCUUGGCACCAUCAUGGGGGAUGCAGAAUCUCCUGGAUUUACUGCAGCCAUAUUUAGGACAUGGGCCACCUUCGGUAGCGUUGGCUUGAUAAGUUCCUUUGUCUAAUUGCCUCCAUCCGUUACGGCUGCAGCAUUGAUGACUUUUGGCCUAGAAGCACAUGGUCUCAGGGCACAGUUGGGAAAGAGGCCACUAGCCUUGACUUUCCAGAGUUCCUGACACCUCUGUGGAUAUGAGGUCUCUUAUGUCUGGUCUCCUCAUCCUACCUCAGUUGCUUUUUCCUCCCAUAUUCCUCUAGACCAGAAGGAGCCAGACUCCUACUCUCCGUCACGACCUUCUCCCUGGGAGUGUGGGCUUCAUGGCUCGAUGGGAAAAUGUGGGAAAGGCGAGUUACCUAAAAGGAACUUUGGGAGGGAAGACAGCUCUAAGCCUCUGUCGCACCUUGUAUUCUAACACUUCGGCCAACUGGAGAGAACACCUGAUAUCCCAAACCAGCAAAGCCUGAAGCCAGAUGUAUCGUCUCUUCCUGACACAGAAACAGAGAUGCUACGCUCUAAGAAUAGAAAUCUGUCCUGAGAUGCACUCAAAGCUGCGUUUUCAAAAUUAAUGUGAAAUCAGUAUUUACAGGUGGUUCAACAAGAAUUGAAAUGAAGGACACAUUGCUGAGGUUGUAGAAGCAAAAAUUAAAAGUACAGUAAAAAAAAAAAAACAAAAAACACCGUGCUUUGUGAGCCUAAUUCAUUACAGAAACGUGUUUGUCAUCCAAAGCGCUUGUAUAUCAAAGCGAAUUUCCAGGACCAUUGGCUCGGUUGUGAUCACAUGAUGUUCGGCUUCACAGGCUACUUGUAUUGCAAGACAUUGUUUGUUAAUCAAGUUAAGAUUUAUUAGACAUGUUUGCUUGUCUUUCGGAACACUCGCAGAGCAAGUCACUUACGAUCCAAGGUUUUACUGUAUAUUCUUAGGUUAGUAAAGGUGCAUCAAUGCAUAGUUUUCUUUCUGUAAGGUGAGAAAGAGAUAGAAAUUCAUUGUGAGCAGAGAACAUCAUUCCUGUUGUACAGCAGCUAAGAUUGUGUGUUAAAACUGAGAGACAGAGGCGCCUGGGUGGGUCAGUCAGUAAAGCUUAUGACUCUUGAUUUUGGCUCAUGGUCAUGGGAUGGAGCCCUGUGUUGGGCUCCACACUGAAGGUGGAACCGACUUGGGAUUCUCUCUCCCUCCCUCUCUGCCCCUCUUCCAUGCUUGCCUGCUUUCUCUUUCUCUCAAAAUAAAUAAACAAAAAAUAAAAUAAAACCGAGAGAC
ensembl:lncRNA